GAUGAACGCUGGCGGCGUGCCUAAUACAUGCAAGUCGAGCGAACAGACGAGGAGCUUGCUCCUCUGACGUUAGCGGCGGACGGGUGAGUAACACGUGGAUAACCUACCUAUAAGACUGGGAUAACUUCGGGAAACCGGAGCUAAUACCGGAUAAUAUAUUGAACCGCAUGGUUCAAUAGUGAAAGACGGUUUUGCUGUCACUUAUAGAUGGAUCCGCGCCGCAUUAGCUAGUUGGUAAGGUAACGGCUUACCAAGGCAACGAUGCGUAGCCGACCUGAGAGGGUGAUCCGCCACACUGGAACUGAGACACGGUCCAGACUCCUACGGGAGGCAGCAGUAGGGAAUCUUCCGCAAUGGGCGAAAGCCUGACGGAGCAACGCCGCGUGAGUGAUGAAGGUCUUCGGAUCGUAAAACUCUGUUAUUAGGGAAGAACAAAUGUGUAAGUAACUAUGCACGUCUUGACGGUACCUAAUCAGAAAUCCACGGCUAACUACGUG
rnacentral:rRNA from 1 species